rfam:Trichoplax adhaerens isolate Grell Red Sea mitochondrion, complete genome.
CAGGUGAUAGAUUAGAGGGAGAUUACUUGCUUUGGGUGUAAGUGGCACAGGUUCAAAUCCUGUUCAUCUGA